CCAUAGGCUUGGAGCGCAGCACCAUCAGAGCUAGCUCAGCCGGUGCCCAGACACUGCGAUGAGACCCCCAUGGGAAACCUGGCUCCGGGUGGUUGGCACCGUUGGUCCCCGCCCCGGGAAGCGUCUCUGGGCUCCAGGACAGGGUCCUUCCUCAGCGCGCCAGCGGAGGCGUCCUUAGUGACGCGGCGUCAGAGCUCCCCUGAGCCCCUGGCGACGAGGCACACACUCCAGACACCAAACAGCCUGGGUGCCCCGAAGGUCGUCCCCGUAGCCCAGGCGCCGGACCGGACCGCAGUCGCCACCUAUGAGCCGAGGAAGCUCUGCAAGGAGGAAGAAGCCAGCCUCCAAGUGGCUGCCUCCUGUCUUUCAGUGGCCGGCCUCCUGCCAGAGGACCCUCGUGCCUCCAGGCGUCGAGAAAGCUUUAGCAGAGCAGGAGGUAGGAAAGAGCGCCCGAGGGAGCAUGGCUGGGGCCGGUGCUGUGGUGGCGCAGGUAAUGUUGCACCCACCAUGCUGCAUCCCACACAGGCAUCGGUUCCAGUCCCGGCAAUGUGCUUGGGAAAGCGGCAAAUGAUGGCCCAAGUGUUUGGGCCCCUGGACCCAUGUGGGAGACCUGGAUGAAGCUCCUGGCUCCUGGCUUUGAUCUGGCCCAGCCCUGGCCAUUGUGGACAUUUGGGGAGUGAACGAGUGGACAGAAGCUCUCUCUCUCUCUCUCUCUCUCUCUGUCUCUCUCUGUCUGUCUCUCUCUCUCUGGAACUCUGACAGAAUUCCAAAUACAUCAACCAGUCUUUUUUUUUAAUAUUUUAAUUUAUUAUUUGAAAGUCAGGGUUACAAAGAGAGAGGCAGAGAGGUCUUCCAUGCGCUGUUCACUCCCCAGUUGGCCUCAACAGCCGGAGCUGUGCCGAUCCGAAGCCAGGAGCCAGGAGCUUCCUCUGGGUCUCCCAUGCAGGUGCAGGGGCCCAAGGACUGGGGCCAUCUUCUACUGCUUUCCCAGGCCGUAACAGAGAGCGGGAUCGGAAGUGGAGCAGCCGGGACUUGAACAAGAGCCCAUAUGGGAUGCCGGCGCUGCAAGCGGCACCUUUACCUGCUGCGCCACAGCGCCAGCCCAAUCAAUCAAUCUUAAAAAAAAAAAGAAAAAAGAGAGAGAAUGGUCCCAGGGAGUAAGGGUGCCCUCGCGACGGUUCGGAAGCAGGUGUUCUGUUGGACUACGCCGGUGGGUUUUCCUGUGUGCGUUUGCCGUGAGCGAGGGUUUCUGGCAGGCGGGUAUCUGAUUUCUCACACAAAGCGAUGACCUCGUCUGGAGAAACAGGAAACUGCCCAUACUUGGACUUGUCUGGGAGAAUCCGGAAAUGAAAGGACAUGGAGGGAGUUGGGCAACUGUGGGGAGCAAUCCGGACUAGACUAAGUUACUCGAAUUAGGACUUAUUCUAUGCAUCUGCUCUCCUCUGUGGGGAGCAGCUCGGACUAGACUAAGUUACUGGAAUUAAGACUUAUUCUAUGCAUCUGCUCUCCUACAAUAUGGCGCUGGGAGAGGAGAAAACAGCUUCUACCCAGCUGCCUCCAGUUCAACCAAUAAACUGUAGGACUUGCUCCUGAUUGGAGAGCA
rnacentral:lncRNA from 1 species